rnacentral:rRNA from 1 species
AGUGAACGCUGGCGGUAGGCCUAACACAUGCAAGUCGAACGGCAGCACAGUAAGAGCUUGCUCUUACGGGUGGCGAGUGGCGGACGGGUGAGGAAUACAUCGGAAUCUACUUUUUCGUGGGGGAUAACGUAGGGAAACUUACGCUAAUACCACAUACGACCUACGGGUGAAAGCAGGGGAUCUUCGGACCUUGCGCGAUUGAAUGAGCCGAUGUCGGAUUAGCUAGUUGGCGGGGUAAAGGCCCACCAAGGCGACGAUCCGUAGCUGGUCUGAGAGGAUGAUCAGCCACACUGGAACUGAGACACGGUCCAGACUCCUACGGGAGGCAGCAGUGGGGAAUAUUGGACAAAGGGCGCAAGCCUGAUCCAGCCAUACCGCGUGGGUGAAGAAGGCCUUCGGGUUGUAAAGCCCUUUUGUUGGGAAAGAAAAGCAGCAGGUUAAUACCCCGCUGUUCUGACGGUACCCAAAGAAUAAGCACCGGCUAACUUCGUG